rnacentral:rRNA from 1 species
GACGUAGGGGGCCAGCGUUGUUCGGAAUUACUGGGUGUAAAGGGUUCGUAGGCGGUGCGGCAAGUUGGGAGUGAAAUCUCUGGGCUUAACCCAGAGGCUGCUUCCAAAACUGCUGUGCUUGAGUCCGGGAGAGGUGAGUGGAACUGCGAGUGUAGAGGUGAAAUUCGUAGAUAUUCGCAAGAACACCAGUGGCGAAGGCGGCUCACUGGCCCGGUACUGACGCUGAGGUGCGAAAGCGUGGGGAGCAAACAGG